UGAGGAACGCUAGCUACAGGCUUAACACAUGCAAGUCGAGGUUCAGCAUUUCAGUUUGCUUGCAAACUGGAGAUGGCGACCGGCGCACGGGUGAGUAACACGUAUCCAACCUGCCGAUAACUCGGGGAUAGCCUUUCGAAAGAAAGAUUAAUACCCGAUGGUAUAAUCAGACCGCAUGGUCUUGUUAUUAAAGAAUUUCGGUUAUCGAUGGGGAUGCGUUCCAUUAGGCAGUUGGUGAGGUAACGGCUCACCAAACCUUCGAUGGAUAGGGGUUCUGAGAGGAAGGUCCCCCACAUUGGAACUGAGACACGGUCCAAACUCCUACGGGAGGCAGCAGUGAGGAAUAUUGGUCAAUGGGCGCAGGCCUGAACCAGCCAAGUAGCGUGAAGGAUGACUGCCCUAUGGGUUGUAAACUUCUUUUAUAUGGGAAUAAAGUUUUCCACGUGUGGAAUUUUGUAUGUACCAUAUGAAUAAGGAUCGGCUAACUCCGUGCCAGCAGCCGCGGUAAUACGGAGGAUCCGAGCGUUAUCCGGAUUUAUUGGGUUUAAAGGGAGCGUAGGUGGACAGUUAAGUCAGUUGUGAAAGUUUGCGGCUCAACCGUAAAAUUGCAGUUGAUACUGGCUGUCUUGAGUACAGUGGAGGUGGGCGGAAUUCGUGGUGUAGCGGUGAAAUGCUUAGAUAUCACGAAGAACUCCGAUUGCGAAGGCAGCUCACUGGACUGCAACUGACACUGAUGCUCGAAAGUGUGGGUAUCAAACAGGAUUAGAUACCCUGGUAGUCCACACAGUAAACGAUGAAUACUCGCUGUUUGCGAUAUACAGUAAGCGGCCAAGCGAAAGCAUUAAGUAUUCCACCUGGGGAGUACGCCGGCAACGGUGAAACUCAAAGGAAUUGACGGGGGCCCGCACAAGCGGAGGAACAUGUGGUUUAAUUCGAUGAUACGCGAGGAACCUUACCCGGGCUUAAAUUGCAUUUGAAUAUAUUGGAAACAGUAUAGCCGUAAGGCAAAUGUGAAGGUGCUGCAUGGUUGUCGUCAGCUCGUGCCGUGAGGUGUCGGCUUAAGUGCCAUAACGAGCGCAACCCUUAUCUUUAGUUACUAACAGGUCAUGCUGAGGACUCUAGAGAGACUGCCGUCGUAAGAUGUGAGGAAGGUGGGGAUGACGUCAAAUCAGCACGGCCCUUACGUCCGGGGCUACACACGUGUUACAAUGGGGGGUACAGAAGGCAGCUACCUGGUGACAGGAUGCUAAUCCCAAAAGCCUCUCUCAGUUCGGAUCGAAGUCUGCAACCCGACUUCGUGAAGCUGGAUUCGCUAGUAAUCGCGCAUCAGCCAUGGCGCGGUGAAUACGUUCCCGGGCCUUGUACACACCGCCCGUCAAGCCAUGAAAGCCGGGGGUACCUGAAGUACGUAACCGCAAGGAGCGUCCUAGGGUAAAACU
rnacentral:rRNA from 1 species